GUGAUUAGCCGUGACUUAUUCAUAUGGUACCUUCAGAACUUAUUCCCAUAUAAAAGAUCUUUACACCCCGAAGGGCGUCAUCGAUCACGCGGCAUUGCUCCGUCAGGCUUUCGCCCAUUGCGGAAUAUUCCUC
rnacentral:rRNA from 1 species